AUCAACUUUCGAUGGUAGGAUAGAGGCCUACCAUGGUGGUAACGGGUAACGGGGUGUUAGGGCACGACACCGGAGAGGGAGCCUGAGAAACGGCUACCACAUCCAAGGAUGGCAGCAGGCGCGCAAAUUACCCAAUCCCGACACGGGGAGGUAGUGACAAUAAAUAACAAUACGGGGUCCUUUCGGGUUUCGUAAUUGGAAUGAGUACAAUUUAAAUCUCUUAACGAGGAACAAUUGGAGGGCAAGUCUGGUGCCAGCAGCCGCGGUAAUUCCAGCUCCAAUAGCGUAUAUUAAAGUUGUUGCAGUUAAAAAGCUCGUAGUUGAAUUUCGGGAUUAGUACGUUGGUCGUGCCUUCGGUACGUACUGGUGUUACUGAUUCCUACCUUCUGACGAACCAUCAUGUCAUUAAUUUGGUGUGGUGGGGAAUCAGGACUGUUACUUUGAAAAAAUUAGAGUGUUUAAAGCAGGCUCGCGCUUGAAUACAUUAGCAUGGAAUAAUGAAAUAGGACGUUGACCCUAUUUUGUUGGUUUCUAGGAUUGACGUAAUGAUUAAUAGGGAUAGUUGGGGGCAUUAGUAUUCAAUUGUCAGAGGUGAAAUUCUUGGAUUUAUUAAAGACUAACUACUGCGAAAGCAUUUGCCAAGGAUGUUUUCAUUAAUCAAGAACGAAAGUUAGGGGAUCGAAGACGAUCAGAUACCGUCGUAGUCUUAACCAUAAACUAUGCCGACUAGGGAUCGGAUGAUGUUAUUUUUAAUGACUCAUUCGGCGCCUUACGGGAAACCAAAGUGUUUGGGUUC
rnacentral:rRNA from 1 species